UACCGUAAAAAGCACUCCCUUGUCUAACCGAACAUCGUCCGUCAGUGUCCUAGUCCUGGAUAUACCGCUGCAACCAGGAGGGCUGCAGAAUGCUGGAUCUCCCACGCUGGACUGGAGCGGUGCUGGUGGCUGACGGUGGGAACGAUGAGUUCGUGACUUUUACUGAUAUUUUGCGUGCUUAGCGCUUUCGUUGUGAUUCUGCUGGCAGAUUCAUAUGCCUCGUGUGUAUUUUAGGUGUUGGUUUACGAGCGUUUACAGCCUUCGAAAUUGUUCACAGGUUUGAUAAUUAAAACAAGGAAAAAAAUGUUCACCGUGUUUAAAUAAACGCUACUGCCAUCUAUUAAUAAAAAAAAAUGCACUUUCCCACCAUCGGUGGUGAAGGGGUUUUUCUGCUUCAAAAGCGUUCAAAUUGA